AUACGUAGGGGGCGAGCGUUGUCCGGAAUGAUUGGGCGUAAAGGGCGCGUAGGCGGCCCGGUAAGUCUGGAGUGAAAGUCCUGUUUUUAAGAUGGGAAUUGCUUUGGAUACUGUCGGGCUUGAGUGCAGGAGAGGUAAGUGGAAUUCCCAGUGUAGCGGUGAAAUGCGUAGAGAUUGGGAGGAACACCAGUGGCGAGGGCGACUUACUGGACUGUAACUGACGCUGAGGCGCGAAAGUGUGGGGAGCAAAUAGGAUUAGAUACCCUGGUAGUCCACACUGUAAACGAUGAAUGCUAGGUGUAGGAGGUAUCGACCCCUUCUGUGCCGCAGUCAACACAAUAAGCAUUCCGCCUGGGGAGUACGGCCGCAAGGUUGAAACUCAAAUGAAUUGACGGGG
rnacentral:rRNA from 1 species